AAGGGCCUGUGAUGAUUGUUUAAAAGUUUUGCCUACAUUGUCUGAGAAUGCAAUGAUACGUCGAUACAUGUAUCUGAGGCCUUU